GGGGGGUUGGCUCAGUGGUUAGAGCGUAGGUCUCGUAACCGGAAAGGCCGCGGGAUCGAAUCCCGCUAGAGGCUG
rnacentral:tRNA from 1 species